CGGGUGAGUAAUGCCUAGGAAUCUGCCUGGUAGUGGGGGACAACGUUUCGAAAGGAACGCUAAUACCGCAUACGUCCUACGGGAGAAAGCAGGGGACCUUCGGGCCUUGCGCUAUCAGAUGAGCCUAGGUCGGAUUAGCUAGUUGGUGAGGUAAUGGCUCACCAAGGCGACGAUCCGUAACUGGUCUGAGAGGAUGAUCAGUCACACUGGAACUGAGACACGGUCCAGACUCCUACGGGAGGCAGCAGUG
rnacentral:rRNA from 1 species